rnacentral:tRNA from 1 species
AGAUAAGAAGCUUUAAGCAAAUAGUUUCGACCUAUUAAAAGAUAUUAAAAAAUCCUUAUCUA